GGAACAGAUGUCGUAGGUAACCAUGACAACAGUAUGAUCAGUAUCGGGCGGUUACUUCAUUACAGGGACAAGCCAAGUUGAAUUACUCAUCCCAUAGGUUCACAGGAGGAGAGGGCAAACCCUGGAUGACAAAGAGUUGCAUCAGCAAUUACUGAGCGACAUGACUUCAAGAGAGGUAUUGGUGCACUGCAGACUAUAGUUCUCCAUGAUCAGAUGAGGAUCAACAAUGCACUGUCAGGACACAUUAAUGAGCAUGGAUGCUACAGAAGAAAAUUUUCAAAGAACGAAUGGCUCAAGGUUUAAAACACUGUCGCAGUCUUCCUUUCCUCUCCUCCGUUCUUUCCACGCUCCCACAGUUUUCACAGGCUCCCUGGAUGACUCACAUGCGGCCCUCUGCACCACCUCUGCCCUUCUCCGUAACUCCUAAAGAGAGAUACCAGAACCUCAAACUACAGGACCUUUGAGAAAAAAAUUGAACAGCAAUAAAGGUAACCAUUUUUAUUUGUUUAUCAAACUUU